AUGGCGUGCACGGACGUCUUCAUGGCCUUCGGCAACCUCUCCUUGAGCACCAGGUGUAGCAGUAGCUUGUCCAAGCCGAUGCAGUUGGAGUUCAUAUAUAUAUUUCUCCAAAAAUUAUACUGUCACUCGCCGCCGGAUUCGAGGGUGGAGCCCGAGCCUCCACUGGAGCAUGGAUCAGCCGUGCAGAGGUGGAACUCCGCAUGGAUCACGACUUGGUUGUUGUGGGGGCCUGGACCAUCAAGCUCGCGGGCGAGAUGGACGGCCUCGACAACGGAGGCGCGUGUGAGAUCCUGGGGUUGA
rnacentral:rRNA from 1 species